rnacentral:rRNA from 7 species
GCCUACGGCCAUCCCCACCCUGGUAACGCCCGAUCUCGUCUGAUCUCGGAAGCUAAGCAGGGUCGGGCCUGGUUAGUACUUGGAUGGGAGACCUCCUGGGAAUACCGGGUGCUGUAGGCU